rnacentral:rRNA from 1 species
UGGGGAAUAUUGCACAAUGGGCGCAAGCCUGAUGCAGCCAUGCCGCGUGUAUGAAGAAGGCCUUCGGGUUGUAAAGUACUUUCAGCGGGGAGGAAGGGAGUAAAGUUAAUACCUUUGCUCAUUGACGUUACCCGCAGAAGAAGCACCGGCUAACUCCGUGCCAGCAGCCGCGGUAAUACGGAGGAUGCAAGCGUUAAUCGGAAUUACUGGGCGUAAAGUGCACGCAGGCGGUUUGUUAAGUCAGAUGUGAAAUCCCCGGGCUCAACCUGGGAACUGCAUCUGAUACUGGCAAGCUUGAGUCUCGUAGAGGGGGGUAGAAUUCCAGGUGUAGCGGUGAAAUGCGUAGAGAUCUGGAGGAAUACCGGUGGCGAAGGCGGCCCCCUGGACGAAGACUGACGCUCAGGUGCGAAAGCGUGGGGAGCAAACAGG